GACGAACGCUGGCGGCGUGCUUAACACAUGCAAGUCGAACGGAAAGGCCCUGCUUUUGUGGGGUGCUCGAGUGGCGAACGGGUGAGUAACACGUGAGUAACCUGCCCUUGACUUUGGGAUAACUUCAGGAAACUGGGGCUAAUACCGGAUAGGAGCUCCUGCUGCAUGGUGGGGGUUGGAAAGUUUCGGCGGUUGGGGAUGGACUCGCGGCUUAUCAGCUUGUUGGUGGGGUAGUGGCUUACCAAGGCUUUGACGGGUAGCCGGCCUGAGAGGGUGACCGGCCACAUUGGGACUGGGAUACGGCCCAGACUCCUACGGGAGGCAGCAGUGGGGAAUAUUGCACAAUGGGCGGAAGCAUGAUGCAGCAACGCCGCGUGCGGGAUGACGGCCGGCGGGUUGUAAACCGCUUUCGCCUGUGACGAAGCGUGAGUGACGGUAAUGGGUAAAGAAGCACCGGCUAACUACGUG
rnacentral:rRNA from 1 species